UACGGAGGGUGCAAGCGUUGCUCGGAAUUAUUGGGCGUAAAGGGCAGGUAGGUGGUCUCAUUUGUCUGGGGUGAAAGCCUUGAGCUUAACUCAAGAAGUGCCCCAGAAACGGUGAGACUAGAGUACUGGAGAGGGUCGUGGAAUUCCCGGUGUAGCGGUGAAAUGCGUAGAGAUCGGGAGGAACACCAGAGGCGAAGGCGGCGACCUGGACAGUUACUGACACUCAACUGCGAAAGCGUGGGGAGCAAACAGG
rnacentral:rRNA from 1 species